ACGCCGGGCGGGGGCGGGCUUCCACUUGUGGAUCGGCGGCCGUCCUCCGCGCCCUCCCCAGGCCCGGACUGGGUGGCGGCCACGGGCCGACGUGGCACCGGGUGGCUGCCCUGGGUGCAGCAUGGGCACAGAUGCUUGGCAGGAAAACGGACAGGAAAAGCCCCCGUCUCCUUUCUCUGGACCCCGGCGCCUUCUUCCUCUGGUCUGCGGUUUAGCAGGGCGCCAGGCCACUGCGGCCAAGUCUGUGACUUCGCGCUCGCAGCUUGGGCAGGAGGACCCGCUGCUGCCCGUCCCCUCCCCUGCCGCUUAGCCCCGCGUCCCUGCCAUGGGGUGCGGACUCAGGAAGCUCGGGGACCCCGAGGACAGCAGCCCUGGGAAAAUCUUUUCCACCCUCAAGAGACCGCAAGUGGAAACAAAGACGGACUUGGCUUAUGAGUACGUGCUGCUGGAUUUCUCUCUGCAAGCCCCGUCAAACCCGGAGGUGAUCAGGAUAAACUCGAUCGUGGACAUAGCAGCCAAAGUGGAGGACUAUUACCUCCAGGGCUACGUGGUGGGGGCCCUGCACCCCAUCCUGCACCCCGCAGGCCCGCGAGUACCCCUGCCUGCGAGUCACCUGUACCGAGCGGUGCUGCUGCGGCCCAAAGCCAGCCCCAAGCGGCCGGCAGCACCCAGCACACAGAGGCACCCACGGCUGGUCAUUGAGGAGUGUCCCAUCCCAGAGGACAUGCAGGCCAGAGAUAUCGCCAAGGAGCUGAUACAGAAGAUCAACGCUGCUGCCCGCAGAGGAAUGCGGUUCGUGGGCUUCACUCCGCAGCUGCGUGCCCCACCCAGGUGCUGCAACGAGGCCGGCCGGGACGCUGGUGCGGAGCCGGACGACAGCUGGCCGGGCCGGGGCAAGGGGCCGGGCAGCGGGCCGGUGUGGGAAGGUGACCCUGGGGAGGAGUCCCGCCGGGAGGGCGACGGCAGCCCCAGCCCCUCCACGCCAAGGAAGGGAGAAGAGAGCAUGCUGUAUGCGGUCUUCAAUGCUUUCGAGGACACCCCAGCCUGCUGGAGCUACCAGGAGGGUGUGCUGUCACUGAAGGUGACCAGGAAGGGCGCUGUCCUCAGCACGCUGGACGCCGACUGGCUGGAGCUGACCAUGUUUUAUUACAAGCAGGGCUUGUCCUUGAUCGACUCCUUCGUGUGCUGGGAUUCACCGAAAGGGGACCACUUGCCGAAAUCUCUGGAGGGAUUUUUUAUCUACGAGGAGGAAGGCUCCGGGCUUCCAGGGUCUCCCAGGAGAGAGAACGAUGCCAUCGUGGUGGAGCAGUGGACAGUCAUCGAGGGCACUGCCGUCAAGGCGGACUACGGCCCCCUGCUGCACACCCUGGCCGAGUUCGGAUGGCUGCUGACCAGCGUGCUGCCCACGCCCCUGCUGAGGCGCGACAGAGUGUUCAUGUGCAGAAACCAAAGCCGGCCGAGCGGACGACCCCGCCGGGCUCUGGGCAGCCUGUGUGGCCACCGUCGUCCCCAGAGACGCACAAGACGAGUCACGUUAGAAGGACUCGGUGACAACGUGAGACAUGGAAGAUGCCGCAUGCCCGGGAGUCGCAGUCCCAGCACUCCAGGGCCCGACUGAUGCUGCGCGCCCUCCAGGGCAGGGGCAGGGACCAUCGCCAGGCGACCCCCUGGGACGUCCACUCUUCUGGCCAAGGCCCGCACCCCGACCCUCGAGCGAGCUGGAGGUGUUGAGACUCUGGGCUGCGCACAGCUGAGGCUGGCUCUGGCUGGGCCCUGGGCCCACCUCCAGCAUCACAAAGGGAGAAAAGAAAGCGAAGAGCAGAGAAGCUGCAGGCUGGCGCAACACCCGCAACCUGGCUCACCAGUCUACAGCCCGGGUCAGGCAGGAAGAAAUCACCACUAGGACACCCUCAGCCCCGCCCACAGCUCCUGCUUUCCCACAAACCCAGGCCUUCACCCUGAGCUACAUUCCAGGCCAUUUAUGUUGCUUUUUUAGUUUGAAACAGUCUUGCUCAAUUGCUCAAUUGCCCAGGCAGAGCUAGAGCUUGGGAUCCUCCUGCCUCAGCCUCCCAGAGUGCUGGGAUUACAGGCCUGCACCACAGGCCCAGCUGCACUUUCUUUCUAUUCAAGAAUAAUUCUACCCUGACCCUUCUUCCCAUCUUUGGAUAAUCCCAGGUGCUUCUCUUGGGCUCUCUACCUGGGUCGCACACCCUGAGCAGGGACCAGAACCCUCUCCUCUCGCUUGUUUCUGAGAUCUCGUCCUUCCCCCUGUUCUCACCUGGAUGGACAGGAGAGGACAUCGCACUGUCCUGGGGCAGGCACAGGGGCUGCCCCACGCACAGGCACUCGUUUGCCCCACAAGGUACCCGAUAGAGGAACCGAGGCAGGAAACCAAAGCAAGGCUUUCACGGCGCUCAUCAGCUCCAGCACUCGACAGGGCCCAGCUGCACCCAGGAACCGCCCGGCUGCAGAGCCCCUGCUCCCCCAGCAUCUCCCGACCGUAGGACCAGCCUGGCCCAUGGCCCCACAGGCGGCCGAUGGUGCUGGCUGUCCCAGAGUCACAGUGUGCAACACACCACCUUCUCACAGAAGGUCGGGGAAUGGCAUGAAGGAGACGGAGGACUCUGAAAAUAAAAAUACCUGGAGGCUGGGACAGGAGGAUCACCAUGAGUUCGAGGCCAGCCUGGGCUAAUAGCAAGUUCAAAGCCAGCCCAAACUACACAGUGAGACCCUGUCUCAAAAAUAAUAAUAACAAAAUAAAAUAGAAGCAAUUUCCUGUUACCAUGCUGGGGGAAGAUGUGCUAGUUCUCAAAAUUCCCUGGCGUCCGUAACCAGGUUUUCAGUGGUCUGCGGUCCAUGGAGACCUCUCAGGGCAGAGUUUCAGUGCAGCCUCCUCCAGGAUGGCAGAGCAGCUCAGGGGAAGGGUCAGUGGAGGCUCUUUGCAUAAUAAAACUGGCAACUGAGCAACACUGCGACAGUGGCCGGAGGGUUUCCUGGGGACACGAGGCCCAGGGCCUUGGUGAGGGAUUUGCGGGGACCGGGACUCUGGGCGCCUGCUGCAGCGUCAGGAAAUGAACAGGCCCCUCUGCUGGAAACACAGACGAACUCCCCCAUGCAGAGCGCACUGGGUCUCUUGUUUAGUUACUGGGUUUUUUUGAUAAGGCAGAUUGACAGUGCAUACCAGUAAUUGAUUGAUUUUAACCCAAUAACUCCACUCCUGAGAAGUGAUGUCCGGAACUAAUUCUUAAGAGGAAGACCAGGUGUCAAGUUUCCAUAACAGCAUGAUUCAUAGCUAUCAGUAAGCCAGAAACAACCUCAUUUUUCAAAAGCAAAGGAAACCCUCAAUACAUUUUGCUGUUUGCAUUCUUUCAAGAUACUAUAUUACACAGCCAUUAAAAAUACGAUCGCAGUGGGCAACCCCGGAAGGUGAGUUCCAGGAGUGGCCCCGAAAUAAAAACGGAACGAGCGGCAGUCGUUCCCAGCUCAGCCUGGGUGGAGAUGGGGAAAGCUGGGCGGCGCUGUCGAGGAUGGGGUCUGUGGGGGCCCCAGAGAGGCGCUGGGAGCCCAGCCCGCCGAGGAGGCCCGGACUCAGCCUGCACAGGGAACUCUGGCCGCGUCGGGAGUGGGGCCGGGCUGAUGGGCAGAGCGGGCGAGGGACAUGACAGGGCCCAGCUGAGCAGUGGGCUCCCUGGGCCGCUGAAGCGCGAGGCCGCCCCGCCGCGGUCUCGUCCCGAUCCGCCCUGGAAGAGUCCUCGGGCCCGGGGGGGGGGGGCACUUGGGGCCUGGGGUCCACGGCUCUUGCCCGGAGGGGCUGCCGGUCCGUCGUGGCCACCGCGUCCGCUGGGGGAGCUCAUCUCGGGGGCUCUGGGCCCCGCGCUCCUGGCACCUGGGGUGAAGGUGGAUGCGGACACCUCUGGGUGCUCCUCCUGACCCUGGAUGCGGCGAAAGCGGGGUCCCUGCGGAGCCCCGCGCUUCUCUCAGGGUGCUCGGGCUGGAGGAGAGGAAGGCUCAGCGGAGGGCUGGAAACCUUGCAAUAAGCCAGGCGUGGUGGUGCGCACCUGUCAUCCCAGGACCCUGGAGGCUGAGGCAGGAGAAUGAACAGCCCGGCCUGGGCAAUGCAGUGACUGGGCACUUGGGGAGACCCUGACUCAGAAAAUGAAAAGGGCAGGGGAUGCAGCUCAGUGGGAAGGCCCUGGGUUCACUCCCGGGGCCAGAAGAGAAAAGAGGAAAGAGGAGAGGGGAGGAGGGAGCAGAGGGCUUGCGGCCCGACGCUGCGCUCCGGGGUUCCUGCCCAGCAGAGCGGAGCGGAGCAGGCUGUGGCCGAGCUUCUGGGGAGGGGAACCUGGCCACGAAGCAGGUCGUCUUCCUGCAGCGGUCGGCGGCGCGGCCCGGCGCGCGCGCCCCCGAG